rnacentral:sRNA from 1 species
UGAAAGCCCGGAUAGCUCAGUCGGUAGAGCAUUG